GCCCAAAUGGCGGAACUGGUAGACGUGCAGGUUUCAGGUACCUGUGCCGCAAGGCGUGGAGGUUCGAGUCCUCUUUUGGGCACCA
rnacentral:tRNA from 2 species